UAGUACAUGAUAGCCAUAAACAGACAAUAAACGUAGACCAUAUAUAUAUAUAUAUAUUUAUAUAAAAUUCAGACCAUAAACAUCAAUUGUUUGAUUCUCCCAUUUGUUAUAUAUAAUACAUGAUAGCAAUAUGGUUUAUCUAUGAACAGCCUGACACGAAGCAGCAAUUGAUAACCAAGAAACAGAGCAUGUGAAUGGCCAUAAAGCUAUCAUAUAUAUACCCACGAAACAUCAAUAGUUGUGAAGGGCUAUAGAGCUACCAUAUAUAAACCCACGAAGCAAUACCACCAGCAAUAGCAACAAACCCACGAAGGGCUAAAGACACAGUCGAUAUACAAAAACAUGGCAUAUAGGAAAUAUACAGAUAAUAAACGCAAGAAGACACAACAUGAGAAGGAAGCAAUACCUUGUGUCACGAAGAACUGUUCAUUUUCACGAGGAGCUGUUCAUCUUCUCUAGCAGAAAAAAAAUAAUAAAAAAUCUCGCAUGAAAAGUCUGAUGGGUUAGGGUGAGAUUUGGGAUAAGGUUUGGUAUUUAUACCUCAUAUUAAAAAGUCACACAAAUUCCUAAUUAAAAAAAAAUUCAUCGAAAUUAGCAAGUUUUUGAAUACCAAAAGACUUUUUGUUACUUGUUUAAAGUCUUAAUUAAAUACCACUAGAUUUGGACACCUUCUUUAAAAUAUCAUAAUAGUCCUGAUUGAAUACUACAAGACUUAUUUAGAUUAUUUAAAAGUCUUAAUUGAAUACCACAAGACUUAUUUAUCCCAAAAUAGUCUUUUAAAAUCCUAAUUGAAUACACCCCUCUUAGUAUCAAAAUGGUCCUACCGUCAAAGUCUGUCAAUUUUACCGUUAAAUUGAGGGGUAAAACCGUCCAUAUGUUAGAAGCUCCCCGAAAUUAGAACCCUAGUUUUGCUAGACCGAGCUACCAGAGCCAAAGGCUUCUUCUCUCUUUCAAUUGUAUCCACAAACCAGAGCCGGCCCUUGGGGAGGGCAACUGGGGCCUGGGCCCGGGGCCCAUAAUUGAAAGGGGCACCAAAAAAAUAAAGUUAAGCCAUAUAUUAUAUACGUAUAGAACAAAACAAAUAAAAUAAAUAAAUAAAAAACCAAGCGUGCAUUUUUGUUUAAUCCUCCCUUCCCAAAAGCGCGUGCUCACCCAUAUAUGCUAGCAAAUAUAUUGUUUUUUAAUCCUAUUCCAAAAAAAAAACAAAACAAAACCAGACCACACUAGGGUUUAGAUUCUUGUUGUCUCAAUUUUCUUAUAUAUGUACCUAUCAUCCCUCACUCACAGUCACACCGCGGCCUCUCUCCUCUCCAUUGCCUCUCUCUUUCGUCUUUCUUAUCAUUUCCCCUCCAUGACAGAAGAGACGAAGCCAACAGAGCUAUUCAAGAUCGCCAAUUGAGAACUUAUUCAUUGAGAAUUGAGAUGGGUUUCAGGUGCAGACCUAGAUAAACAACAAAGAUGAUUUUUCUUGGGUCUUAAUCAGUUUUGCAAGGAGAACGUGAGUUUUGUAAUGGAUUACUUGGUUUAAACAUGAAAAUUUAUCUGAAGAUUUACCAAAUGAAUUGUUCAUAUUCAUUUGGAAGAAUAAGCAGAAAAUGAAAAUGAAUUGAAAGUUUAUGAUGCAAAAAUGGCAGAUUUACUUUUAGAAAAGUUUCAUGUGGGAGAAAUUAACUGCAAAUUCCCUAUGGAUGAACACGAUGACAUUUUUCCUCAAAUUAUUAUCAUCAAAAAAUAACAAACGGGAAGGCUUAUGUUGUAAAAACAAUGAAUGCUAUAAUUUUAAUAAAAUUAA